AUAAAAAAGACACCCAAAUACCUUAGACCAAAUUACAAAUCAUUAAAGUAUCAAAAACUAAAAUCUCUAACAAAACAUCUAACAAUUCCAAGUAUAUAAUUAGAAAACCAUAUAAGCCAUCCAAGCAUUAGGAAAACAUACAAACAACAUCAUUGGAUCAUUUUUCAUGCAGUUCACCAAAGCAUAUAAACUAUUAAUCAAAGCAAAUAAAUUAUUAACUGUAGAAUACUGUCUCUCCCAAACUACUUUUAAAUAACAACUUCUCAACCCCAGGACAUACUUCCACAGUUACCAUGUUCAUCAAAUUUCCUUCUAAUCAUUUUUAUAGAUAUGUAUUCCUACAACUUUCUGCAUGAAGCAUG
rnacentral:misc_RNA from 1 species